rnacentral:sRNA from 1 species
UACUGGUCUGUUAUCCGACGAUGUAAGU